ACUGGACACAGCGACCCCAUUGGAUUCAACAGAGAAAAGUGAAGUCAAUUAGAAGUGAAGUCACUUCCUGGGGGUCGAGCGUACUGCGCAGACUCAAACUGAGCUCAAUGAUGUAGAUGUCACGUGAGCAACCUGUCUGACAAUUGUAAGUCUUCUAAUAGCCGUGCCACGAGAAAUCUGAAUCACCACCGAACCUUGCAGAGACGGCGAGCGUGAACAGGAGUACAUUUUGCGGGACGACCGAUUCCACAUCGCCCAGCACUGAACUGUCACCCACCUCGCUGCUCUCGCCCGUGUUUACAUCAUUAAGGUUCUGAUGAAGUGUGAAGUUAAAGACGAUUUUAUAAAGACAUACAGAGAGACUACAUGAAAUAUAUCACAUUGCAAGAUGAAUUUAAAUGAGCCGCUGAUUAAAAACUAGAUUGCCCAAAUAUCUGGAUUAGUCUUUUAGGAAUAUUUAGGCGUGGACUUCACGGCCCUCUGAUGAAAGACCUGUUGCAGCUGAUCAGUCCAGGGAAUGCUCGGAGUCUCCUCAUCACUGCAGAAGAGAGAGGGAUAAAGAGAGAGAGAGAGAGCGUGCGAGCCCUGCGUUCAGCCAGCAGGACCUCCAAACACUCGGCUUCACUGAUCCUGAAAUAAAGAGGUUGAUGGAGGGAGGACGAAUGAGAAGCAGUAAUGCGCAGACACGCUGGAUUGAGACUGAGGAGACGAUCUGACAGUGCUGCUGUUGGGUGUCGCCUGUCUGCGCUUCCUGAACAUUCAGCUGUUCUAUAGCACCCCUCUCUCUCUCUCUCUCUCUCUCUCUCUCUCUCUCUCUCUCUCUCUCACUGUCUGACUCUGUUAUUCUUUCUGAAAUCUUUCCAUGUGUUGUGACUGAUCUGAUGUCAGUGAUAUUUCUCUUUGAUAAGCUCCAGUAGUUCAGCGUGUGCUUAAAUCAUCAUUACAUGUGUUCAAAACUUCAGCUACAAAAUCACUAAGUCAUCAUCAUACAGUGGUGGUAAUUUAAGUGAUGCUUAUCUGAAGAAAUCUGUCCAGCAUCAUACUACAGUACAGCAACAAGCUGGCAUCACUGUUACAGUGUAAUUAUACAUUUAAGUACUAAGUAAUAAUCAUUAACAACAUGUACUUACUAUAGGGUUGGGGUUAGGAUUAGGGUUUGGUUUAGGGUAAGUUGCAUGUAACUAUGCAUUAUUAACUGUUAUUACUAUAAUAAUUACAUGUACAAUAUGUAACAAAGACACAGUAAAAUAAAGUGUUACCCAAAUUACUUAUCAGUGAACAAUAUUGCGAUUAAUAAUAAAUAAUGUGACUUCAUAAUCUUUAAUCAAAAAUGCAAAUCUCCUACCAUCUUGGAAACAAUCUCUCUUUACUUCUGAUCAUAUGGUACACGAUUUGCUAAUAGCAACAUGACCCAACUUCAAACGAUCAACUCAGAUCUCAAUGGACAAAUCCAGCC